rnacentral:rRNA from 1 species
AGCGAACGCUGGCGGCGUGCUUAACACAUGCAAGUCGAGCGGUAAGGCCCUUUCGGGGGUACACGAGCGGCGAACGGGUGAGUAACACGUGGGUGACCUGCCUUUAGCUCUGGGAUAAGCCUGGGAAACUGGGUCUAAUACCGGAUACGACUCCGCGGUGCAUGCUGUGGGGUGGAAAGCCUUGUGCGGCUGGAGAUGGGCCCGCGGCCUAUCAGCUUGUUGGUGGGGUGAUGGCCACCAAGGCGACGACGGGUAGCCGGCCUGAGAGGGCGACCGGCCACACUGGGACUGAGAUACGGCCCAGACUCCUACGGGAGGCAGCAGUGGGAAUCUUGCGCAAUGGGCGAAAGCCUGACGCAGCGACGCCGCGUGAGGGAUGACGGCCU